rnacentral:rRNA from 1 species
AAACCAAUUUAAUUUGACGGCAAUUAAUCUAAUUAGAGGAAUCCGUCCUUUAAUCGACAACCCACGUUAAAUUUCACUUUAAUCUCAAAUUUAUAUACCGCCAUCUUAAGAAUUAAUUCAAAAAUAUUUCUCUCAAAAAUAAAUAAAAAGUUAGGUCAAGGUGUAAUUAACAUUAAAGAAUGAGAUGAAUUACAAUAAAUAGAAUUUAAAGAUCAUCAAUAAAUAUAUUCAUUCAAAUAAGAAUUUAAAAGUAAUAUUCAAAUAAUAAUACAAUAUGAUAUAGAUAACAAAUGUGUACACAUCGCCC